rnacentral:sRNA from 1 species
CUUCUUCGAUCUGCUGCGGCGCGAUGAAAUGAAUAUGCGCGUCGAAGCCACCCGCAGUGAGGAUGCGACCUUCGCCCGCGAUCACUUCCGUCGACGGCCCGAUGACGAUCGUCACGCCCGGCUGCGUGUCCGGGUUGCCGGCCUUGCCGAUGCCGUGGAUACGGCCAUCCCGCAGUCCGACAUCGGCCUUGUAGAUGCCGGUGUGGUCGACGAUCAGCGCGUUGGUGAUCACCGUAUCGACGGCACCCUCGGCGCGUGUCGCCUGGGACUGGCCCAUGCCGUCGCGGAU